AAAAACGUAAUUUCAACCCCUAACUAAUAUUUAUUCAUCUUAUUCUAUCUUAUACAUACAAAUAUUAUUAUUUUUAUUAUUAUACCAUACAAACAUAAUACUCAACCAAACACAAAUAUUAUUUUUCUUAUUAUUAUACCGUAUGAACAUAAUACUCAACCAAACACAAAAAUCUAAUAGUUCUAGCUAGUUGCAACAUUUAUACCUAUUCUUGGAACU
rnacentral:lncRNA from 1 species